rnacentral:rRNA from 1 species
CCUACGGGGGGCUGCAGUGGGGAAUAUUGGACAAUGGUGGCAACCCUGAUCCAGCCAUGCCGCGUGUGUGAAGAAGGCCCUCGGGUUGUAAAGCACUUUCAGUGAGGAAGAACGCCUGGUGGUUAAUACCCAUCAGGAAAGACAUCACUCACAGAAGAAGCACCGGCUAACUCCGUGCCAGCAGCCGCGGUAAUACGGAGGGUGCGAGCGUUAAUCGGAAUUACUGGGCGUAAAGCGCGCGUAGGUGGCUUGAUAAGCCGGUUGUGAAAGCCCCGGGCUCAACCUGGGAACGGCAUCCGGAACUGUCAAGCUAGAGUACAGGAGAGGAAGGUAGAAUUCCCGGUGUAGCGGUGAAAUGCGUAGAGAUCGGGAGGAAUACCAGUGGCGAAGGCGGCCUUCUGGACUGACACUGACACUGAGGUGCGAAAGCGUGGGUAGCAAACAGGAUUAGAUACCCCUGUAGUC